GUUUUGCAUGAGGGAUUGAAGUGGAAAUCCUUUUGUGCAAUGAAAUGAAACAAAAGAUUGAAGCGGAAAGCCUGACCCGCU
rnacentral:sRNA from 1 species